rnacentral:lncRNA from 1 species
UCCCAGCAGAAAACAAAUGCAAGUUUCAGGCUGUGGAGCCCUCCCUGCCCCCGUCAGGAAGCCCUCUUCUCCAUGGGCCAGGAUGUGCUGUGACAGCCGUGUCCCGGGAGGGCGAAGGCGUUGGGAAAGCGCACAGGCUCCAGCCCGGUCCCUCUAACAAGGGCAGCGCUGCCCCGAGCGGCGAUCAGCUGUCUUGGGGAGGCUGGCGGUGACAGAUUGCUUCUGAGAUGGCACAGGAGCAGGGAUGAUUAAAGAGAACAGACACCGAAAAUGACAGAGGAUGAUGGCUGCAAGGAGUUGUCCCCUGGGUGGGUCCUGGCCUGUCUCCAGUGGAUUCAAAAAGAAGUUUUGGCUCCACGAUGUCAACUUGGGCAAAUCAUGUUGUCUCUGAAAAAGAAGCUAGAGAUGGGGAUUGGCCCCAAAUCCCACUGAUGGCAGCUUAAGUGAGGAAGGAUGGAGGUCCAGUGAAAUGUUUGCUCAAGAUUCCAGAUGUAGUAAAUACCUGAUAUGAAGCAGGAUUCUCUGGUUAUCUUAAAUGACCCCAGAGAUAUGCUAUUACUAACGAUGAAGCAUUCUCCUCACCUGCUGGAGCAGAGGUGAUGGAUUCAAGACCCAUCAAAGGAAGGAUUUGAAACUGGGUCCUCAGACUCUUGGGACACAGAGACCCUGAUGGGUACAUUGGAACACAUGACUGAUGACAGAGAAAAAGGAGAUGACCCUUUUGGCUGUUUACCUUUCAUCAACCCACAGCCAUGUAUAAUACCACCAGAGGACAUUCAGGAAUGUUUCCUGGGGAGGAAGACUCAAAGAAUAAUGAACUCCACUGCCUUCCCACAGCAUGUAAUUCUACUAUUUUUUUCUUUGGAAGUUGAUACAUGUACACUGGACUCUGAUUAUGAGGUGAUUUUUUUCCUCUCUCCUUACACUUCCCAGAGAUUUCCAAAUAAUCAUGAAUAUGGGAUUAGAAAAAAUGGUUUGCCCAUGUGGAGCAAUCUCUAAUUGGCUUUUUUCUCCUUCCCAUUGAAGGACUGUGAGGGCCCUUGAUUGAUUAGAUCAAUUUUCCAUCCAGACACAAAUGGAGGUAAAAUAGGAAGAGGCCUCGGAAGAGGGGGAAUUUGGCACCGAUCUCCCUAGAGCAAGGGGGCACACCCUUCCACUUGGCAUCCUUGGCCUUUCUAAUAUUUCCAGACCCAAUCUCGACUUCUCCGGCAGCCAAUGCCGCUUACCAGCAGCUCUCAUCCACAUGUGGUUGUAUUUAGCUCCAGAGAACUCUGAACUAAACCCAGGCAGGGGCCAGUGGGGGAGAUCAAAGGUAAUAAAGUCUCCCUAUUUCAUAAAUGGUGAACUUUUGUAAAGAAACAAAAUGUAUUUAAAGCCAAUGCCAAGGGGAGUGUUAUGUUUUGACUGAUGUGUAAAACAAAGAGGGAGAGCUGGAGGUUUUUCCCCUUG